rnacentral:rRNA from 1 species
UACGGGGGGGGCAAGCGUUGUUCGGAAUUACUGGGCGUAAAGGGCUCGUAGGCGGCCAACUAAGUCGGAUGUGAAAUCCCCAGGCUUAACCUGGGAACUGCAUCCGAUACUGGAUGGCUUGAAUUCGGGAGAGGGAUGCAGAAUUCCAGGUGUAGCGGUGAAAAUGCGUAGAUAUCUGGAGGAAUACCGGUGGCGAAGGCGGCAUCCUGGACCGAGAUUGACGCUGAUGAGCGAAAGCUAGGGGAGCAACGGGG